rnacentral:snRNA from 1 species
AGAUGUGAGGGCGAUCUGACUGCGACAUCUGUCACCCCAUUGAUCGCCAGGGUUGAUUUGGCUGAUCUGGCUGGCUAGGCGGGUGUCCCCCUCCUCCCUCACCAAUCCAUGUGCGUCCCUCCCGAAGCUGUGCGCUCAGUCGAAUAGGACGACCUUCCUCCCCUCCCCCCCAGGAGAGGACCGGUCUUCGGUCAAGGGUAUACAAGUAGCUGCGCUCCCCUGCUAGAACCUCCAAACAAAUAAAGAACACAAUGGAAGGAAUACACAGCAGAUUAGGGGAAGCUGAGUAUCGAAUCAGUGAAUUAGAAGACAGUUGAAAAUAUCACUCUAU